rnacentral:rRNA from 1 species
UACGGAGGAUCCAAGCGUUAUCCGGAAUCAUUGGGUUUAAAGGGUCCGUAGGCGGUCUAGUAAGUCAGUGGUGAAAGCCCAUCGCUCAACGGUGGAACGGCCAUUGAUACUGCUAGACUUGAAUUAUUAGGAAGUAACUAGAAUAUGUAGUGUAGCGGUGAAAUGCUUAGAGAUUACAUGGAAUACCAAUUGCGAAGGCAGGUUACUACUAAUGGAUUGACGCUGAUGGACGAAAGCGUGGGUAGCGAACAGG